CAGCUCGUGUCGUGAGAUGUUGGGUUAAGUCCCGCAACGAGCGCAACCUUGCCUUUAGUUGCCAGCAGUUCGGCUGGGCACUCUAAAGGGACUGCCGGUGUUAAACCGGAGGAAGGUGGGGAGUGACGUCAAGUCCUCAUGGCCUUUAUGACCAGGGCUACACACGUACUACAAUGGCCGAUACAAAGGGCAGCGACACUGCGAGGUGAAGCCAAUCCCGUAAAAUCGGUCUCAGUCCGGAUUGGAGUCUGCAACUCGACUCCAUGAAGUUGGAAUCGCUAGUAAUCGCGCAUCAGCCAUGGCGCGGUGAAUACGUUCCCGGGCCUU
rnacentral:rRNA from 1 species